UCUUUUUUAUACCUUAACAAGAAGUGCAUUCACAUAGAAGCAGUGGUACCUAAUAUUUUUAAGUUUAUUUUAUUUAUGUAUUAGAUAUGAUCUUCAAUUUACUUAUAUAUAUACACGAUGUAUUGCUUAAAGUAGAAAAUUUUCAUAACAAACAUUAGUUGCUCAGUGUCCUGAUUAUUUUUCGAAUUUGUGGAUGUAGAAUUUCUUGGGGCCAGGGGUCGAUUUUUCAGUUGGAAAUGUGUCGGGUUCUUGUUCUUACCGUAGUGCCCGGCUUGCUUAGCAACCAAAGCUAGCUUACUAAGUUAGUUUACUUUUUAAUUUUGAAAAAAGAAGGUGAAGGGAUUUUUCCUUGAUUGCAUGCUUAACUUAAUGUUGUAGCAACAAUAUAGUGUGUUGAUGAGAUGAAAGAUGGAAACUACCUUUUAGGUGUUAAUUCUGUAAUGGGUAUUAAUUAAAAAAAAAUAAAGAAUGUUUGAUACUUGUGCUGAUUUUGUCAAAUGCAAGUACAAGACGAGAAUACCUAUCAAGCGAUUACUGAAAAAUACUUCUACAAAAGUUAAGCAAGCCAGCUAAACAAACCAUCAAAUUGAAGUCAGUGCUAGCAAGAAAAUUACAGAUGCUAAAUUUGCUAAAAAAUUUCAAGUUGUAUUGAAGGAGCUUCAAAAAGCUCAGAGGCUUGCGGCUGAAAAAGAUACAUCACAUUCACCUUUCAUUCCACAAGUAGUUCUUCAUUCUAGAUACUACUGUUAUUAAGUUAACUGGUAAUUGCAUUGGCUACGCUGAUGGUUCUCUGGAUAAUGCUAAGUUCAACAAACCUAGAAGCUUUGCUGUUGAUUGAAAAGGGAAUAUUUAUGUUGUUGAUAUGAAGAAAAUGUGUGCAAUUAAAAAGAUUAACAAGUCAGCAAACGUGCCGUCGUCUUCAACUCAACAGUAAUUCUAGCC